AAGUAGCAAGGUUAAGCACUUAAGGUGCGGAGCCGUAGCGAAAGCGAGUUUUAACUGAGCGUUCAGUUAUUUGACGUAGACCCGAAACCGGGCGACCUACCCAUGAGCAGGAUGAAGCGAAAGUAAAAUUUCGUGGAGGUCCGAACCCACGAGCGUUGAAAAGCUCGGGGAUGACUUGUGGGUAGCGGUGAAAUUCCAAUCGAGCCCGGAGAUAGCUGGUUCUCCCCGAAAUAGCUUUAGGGCUAGCCUCAAGGUGAGAGAUACGGAGGUAGAGCACUGAAUGUCCUAGGGGGUAUUGCACCUACCGAAGACUAUCAAACUCCGAAUGCCGUCAUCUUAUACUUGGGAGUCAGACUGUGGGUGAUAAGAUUCAUAGUCGAAAGGG
rnacentral:rRNA from 1 species